rnacentral:rRNA from 1 species
AUUGAACGCUGGCGGCAGGCCUAACACAUGCAAGUCGAACGGUAACAGGAAACAGCUUGCUGUUUCGCUGACGAGUGGCGGACGGGUGAGUAAUGUCUGGGAAACUGCCUGAUGGAGGGGGAUAACUACUGGAAACGGUAGCUAAUACCGCAUAACGUUGCAAGACCAAAGAGGGGGACCUUCGGGCCUCUUGCCAUCAGAUGUGCCCAGAUGGGAUUAGCUAGUAGGUGGGGUAACGGCUCACCUAGGCGACGAUCCCUAGCUGGUCUGAGAGGAUGACCAGCCACACUGGAACUGAGACACGGUCCAGACUCCUACGGGAGGCAGCAGUGGGGAAUAUUGCACAAUGGGCGCAAGCCUGAUGCAGCCAUGCCGCGUGUAUGAAGAAGGCCUUCGGGUUGUAAAGUACUUUCAGCGGGGAGGAAGGGAGUAAAGUUAAUACCUUUGCUCAUUGACGUUACCCGCAGAAGAAGCACCGGCUAACUCCGUG